rnacentral:rRNA from 1 species
GCAAGUCGAACGGUAACGGGCCUUCGGGUGCCGACGAGUGGCGAACGGGUGAGUAAUGUAUCGGAACGUACCUUUCAGUGGGGGAUAACGUAGCGAAAGUUACGCUAAUACCGCAUAUUCUGUGAGCAGGAAAGCAGGGGAUCGCAAGACCUUGCGCUGAUUGAGCGGCCGAUAUCAGAUUAGCUAGUUGGUGAGGUAAAGGCUCACCAAGGCGACGAUCUGUAGCGGGUCUGAGAGGAUGAUCCGCCACACUGGAACUGAGACACGGUCCAGACUCCUACGGGAGGCAGCAGUGGGGAAUUUUGGACAAUGGGGGCAACCCUGAUCCAGCCAUGCCGCGUGAGUGAAGAAGGCCUUCGGGUUGUAAAGCUCUUUCGGCCGGGAAGAAAUCGUAUGGGUUAAUACCCUGUGCGGAUGACGGUACCGGCAUAAGAAGCACCGGCUAACUACGUG